UGGGAUGUUCGGUGGAACUGGCUGUGAAAGUCAUCAGGAAAGCAGAAUCUUGGCUCUGUCCUUGCAAGAGAAUGAAGCUGAAAACCACAGAGCGGAGGGUCCCUUUGUUUGGAAGUUUGUUUUGAACUUUGAGACUCCAGAAGGGAGAUAAACACGUCUCACUCGGAAACAGGCAAAUGCUCCUGGGUGUUGGAAAACCAGGUGGGAAAACCAUUGGGAGACAGAUUUUCCAUCUUCUUCAAGGGGUGAAUGGGCUGCCUCCCUUAUGCUUCUCUUCGGCUCCAAGAGCCCCCUUGUCUCCUAACUUCCGGUCCCUGACGGGGGUGCCUUCUAGCUUUUGUCCCCAUUUUCUGACCCUCUCAUUGCUCUCCCUGACGAACCCAGCCUUAGUCUCCCCGGCUUUUCCUCUCAGUUGCCUUCCUCUCUCUCCCAUCCAGCUGCAUCCCAUUUUUCUUGCUUCUGUGUGAGCCUGUCCCGCGCCACCCCACUCCUGUGCCCCCCUGCCCAUUCAGGAAUACUCCCUGACUCACCUUCAUCUGGGCACAAAAUCCUUCUGGCCUAUGAGGUGUGGCAAUGGUGGGAAGAGGCGCUUGUGAUCCAGUGGUUUCUGCUUGCCAUCCCUAGACUAUUUGAAUAUCUCGCCAGGAUUCUGCCUCGCAGCGCCCUCCCUGCUGUGCCUUCCUCGAACAGCCAGUCAUUUCUUCAGGAUUCCCUCAAGCCCCGCCUUCUCCUGGAAGCCCUCCUCUGAGCUCCUCGAGCACUGACCGCCCGGGCCAGUCAGUAUCUUCUGCCCACCCCUCCACUGGGCCCCCUGCACAGAAGGAGUCCCUGGCCUUGCCGUGAGAUUGUCCAUCUUGGAACUUUGCACAGGCUGUUCCCUACACCUGCUUUGCUCUGCCCCUGUUUCUUUGCAAAGCUGGAAACUCCUCUCCCUCUAGGUCUUCGCUUAAUUGCUACCUCCCUAGAGAGGCCUUGCAUGACCAGCUAGCUAAAGUAUCCCGAGAGAAUCUUUAAUUAAUGGGUGGAGUGAAAGCCUCUCAGACAACACGGACUUACUCAUCUCAGAGUUCAGUUGAAUUAACUCCCAUGCCCUCCUACCCUAAGCUGGCUCGUUUCCCUCUUUAUUCACUUGGCUCUUUAAGACCUAACUUCUAUCUCUGGAUAUGAGCUUCCAGUAUAUCCUUUAGGAUCUGCUGUGGGCGCACCUCUUUCAUAGGUAUUAAAAAUUACGAGUGGGUCUUCGUGGUGGGGCAACGGAAGCGUCCAGUGCUGUCCUGCGCAAGAGAAAAGCAUCAGCAAUCGGAGGACACGAGUUUCGGGUUUGCCCUCACUUCCUCGCUACGUGACCUUGGGCGACCAAUUAAUUCUUGUUGCCUGAAUCUACUCCGCUAUUCAGUAAGGAGUAACAAUUGCCUUUAAACAUUAUUCUAAUACAUAUUAUAACUAUCCCUGUCCUGUGUCUACCUCAGGGUUGUUCUGGGAAUGCAGUGAAAAACGAUGUGCUUUGUGAAUGAAAGUCUAUGCAAAGUAGGUGAUGAUUAUUUUUCCCUCAUCUCGUUACAAAUGAGCCAUUCAAGCUCAGUUAUUUACACAGAAUUUGCAGGAGGUAAUCUCCUGUCCCUCAAUCCCCAGGAAGGCCAUGGUAAAUAAAGGGCGAGCAGAA